GCAUUAUAUAAAAGGAAGAAAGGUUAGCACUCCACUUGAUAAGGAUGAAAUGGAUGACCUAUUGACCUUUAAUUACACACACACAAGUGCAUAUACAUACACAAUAUUCAUGUACAUACACAUACAUUCAU
rnacentral:ncRNA from 1 species